GAUGAACGCUGGCGGCGUGCCUAAUACAUGCAAGUCGAGCGAACAGACGAGGAGCUUGCUCCUCUGACGUUAGCGGCGGACGGGUGAGUAACACGUGGAUAACCUACCUAUAAGACUGGGAUAACUUCGGGAAACCGGAGCUAAUACCGGAUAAUAUAUUGAACCGCAUGGUUCAAUAGUGGAAGACGGUUUUGCUGUCACUUAUAGAUGGAUCCGCGCCGCAUUAGCUAGUUGGUAAGGUAACGGCUUACCAAGGCGACGAUGCGUAGCCGACCUGAGAGGGUGAUCGGCCACACUGGAACUGAGACACGGUCCAGACUCCUACGGGAGGCAGCAGUAGGGAAUCUUCCGCAAUGGGCGAAAGCCUGACGGAGCAACGCCGCGUGAGUGAUGAAGGUCUUCGGAUCGUAAAACUCUGUUAUUAGGGGAGAACAAAUGUGUAAGUAACUAUGCACGUCUUGACGGUACCUAAUCAGAAAGCCACGGCUAACUACGUG
rnacentral:rRNA from 1 species